UGAGGAAUCUUGCGCAAUGGGGGAAACCCUGACGCAGCAACGCCGCGUGAGUGAGGAAGGUUUUCGAAUCGCAAAGCUCUGUCAGGUGGAAAGAAAUGUAUGGACGUUAAUAGCUUCCAUGCCUGACGGUACCACCAGAGGAAGCACCGGCUAACUCCGUGCCAGCAGCCGCGGUAAUACGGGGGGUGCAAGCGUUGUUCGGAAUCAUUGGGCGUAAAGAGCGUGUAGGCGGCUUGAUAAGUCAGAUGUGAAAGCCCUGGGCUUAACCCAGGAAGUGCAUUUGAUACUGUCUAGCUAGAGUAAGGGAGAGGAAAGCGGAAUUCCUGGUGUAGAGGUGAAAUUCGUAGAUAUCAGGAGGAACACCGGUGGCGAAGGCGGCUUUCUGGCCCUAUACUGACGCUGAGACGCGAGAGCGUGGGUAGCAAACA
rnacentral:rRNA from 1 species